GAAUCGAAUAUUUAAGACAACCCAGUGGUAAGUGUGGUCACCAACAGCAGGAGAAAUAGCACAAAAUUGGCAAACUUGCUCUGCUGGUCUCAGAUUUUUGGCGAACACACCAUUUGUCAGGGUGUUGACAUUGGAACAGUUAUCUUCUGUUCUUUUAUUUAGGAGUGUUUCUAAUUUGUAUAAAUCCUCGAUUAUUUACCAGAUGUGCGGCCUGUGUCACGGUCCCCUGUGUUCCAGAUGAAAGCUCUAGCCACUGGCUUGUGGGAGAGACAGAGACUUGUUUCUUGGUUCCAGUAAAUAUUUCUGAAGCCUCAUUUGAAAUGUCAGACAAUGCAUUUCCUUCAUCACUGACUAAUUUCAUAAGCCUCACUCUGGGUCGUCUCACUGCGUCCUUUGCACAGGCUGAUUCAUCUCUGUCAUACGUAAAACAGGAUCUGAAUUUUUCCCUCCACGAUGGAAAAGGUCCUGACUGUGACAUGCCUUCAGGGAAUCCCACAGUUUCCAUCUGAGGCAGGUACAUGCAUUUUAAGUGGAGGCACACACCAAUGCCUAGAGAGCAUUUGCAGCUGCAGUAGGGCACAGGAAAAUGGGGUGAAGGAAGAGGAUACAGAUAACAUUGACGUUAACGCACUUCCAAGAGCUAGGGUCCUCUGAUUUUCCAAAUCUGUCCAUUGUGUACACAGCUUUUGUUUUGUACACAACUCUUAUUUUGGUUUGCUGUUAAUUUGUCUUUCUUUGAUAUUAAAUACAAAUUGUGAAAUGUACAGAAUGUGCACUGUUGUUGCCUUCACAGAAAAAAACCAAAAAACUUCUGUGACUUGCUCAUUUGGAUUUAUAGAACAAUUUGAUGGAUUUUCCUGUUAAUUAUGCAAUUCAUCUGCUAGGAGAUGUGCUCUUGUUCAGUCUGUGUUGUUAAAUUCAUGCAACCCUUGCCUUAAAUCUCCAUGUGUGCUAACAUAUUUGUAUAGAAAGUGCAGUGACAAGUGUGAACAAGCUAAAGAUGUUGUGAAUUAAAUUUACAGUGUCAUUUGC